UGAACGCUGGCGGCGUGCCUCAUACAUGCAAGUCGAGCGACCAGACGAGGAGCUUGCUCCUCUGACGUUAGCGGCGGACGGGUGAGUAACACGUGGAUAACCUACCUAUAAGACUGGGAUAACUUCGGGAAACCGGAGCUAAUACCGGAUAAUAUAUUUAACCGCAUGGUUCAAUAGUGAAAGACGGUUUUGCUGUCACUUAUAGAUGGAUCCGCGCCGCAUUAGCUAGUUGGUAAGGUAACGGCUUACCAAGGCAACGAUGCGUAGCCGACCUGAGAGGGUGAUCGGCCACACUGGAACUGAGACACGGUCCAGACUCCUACGGGAGGCAGCAGUAGGGAAUCUUCCGCAAUGGGCGAAAGCCUGACGGAGCAACGCCGCGUGAGUGAUGAAGGUCUUCGGAUCGUAAAACUCUGUUAUUAGGGAAGAACAAAUGUGUAAGUAACUAUGCACGUCUUGACGGUACCUAAUCAGAAAGCCACGGCUAACUACGUG
rnacentral:rRNA from 1 species